UCAAAAUGGCUACCUUCCGUGUCGUGUACUGCCACGUGCAGUAAAGUUAAGUAUUUUAUUACAAAAAAUGCAAUAGUGAUGCAAUAAUUAAGUGAAUAAUAUUGUUUUUAUUUAUAAUAUUUCAGUUCAUAUUCUAUUUUUUUUGUAGUAAUCGCCAACUGUGGAUGAAAAUAGUAAGAAAUUGGAUGUAUUGCUGUGUGGUACAAUAGUAUUACGUCAUAACCGAAUUUACUGUUCUACGUAUGUAAUAUACUAUUUUUUAUUUGUUGUCAAUUAAUACAUUUGCAAUACAUAUUAUUGCGAAGAUUAUACAAAUUUAACAACAAGCAAUGAGUGCAGUGAUGAACAUCCUGAUGGGGGUGUGGGGGCGAAGCCCCCCCCCAUCUCAUAACUAAAUUUAAAUGUGAAAAUAAAAUAAAAUAUAAAAGAAGUUAAAAAGAAAUUUAAAUAUAAAAAUGAAUAAUCAAAAUAUGAACAAAACAUACACACGCAGAAGGCUGACCACAAUUUAAGAAUGAAAUGCAAAAAAAAUAGAGAAUAAUGGCAAUUGGAGCUAGAAACAGGAGUGUUGUGGAAUCUACAAAAAAAGGAUUUCUUGUAUAAACUGUUGUGCUGCGACUUAUCAUCGUCGACUGUAUCGACAUAUAAUUUUAUAUAAAUGAACGGGGUGAUUAAUUGGAUCAAAGAAAAUGUAAAAUCAGAAAGGAAUUUGCCUCGACUGUGUCUUUUAUGUUAGAUCAUCAUCAU